GUGGGGAAUAUUGGGCAAUGGGCGAAAGCCUGACCCAGCAACGCCGCGUGAGGGAUGAAUGUUUUCGGAUUGUAAACCUCUGUCCUCAGGGACGAAGGAAGUGACGGUACCUGAGGAGGAAGCCCCGGCUAACUACGUGCCAGCAGCCGCGGUAAUACGUAGGGGGCGAGCGUUGUCCGGAAUGACUGGGCGUAAAGGGCGCGUAGGCGGCUGUGUAAGUCUGGAGUGAAAGUCCUGCUUUUAAGGUGGGAAUUGCUUUGGAGACUGCAUGGCUUGAGUGCGGAAGAGGCAAGUGGAAUUCCCAGUGUAGCGGUGAAAUGCGUAGAGAUUGGGAAGAACACCAGUGGCGAAGGCGACUUGCUGGGCCGUAACUGACGCUGAGGCGCGAAAGCGUGGGGAGCGAACAGGAUUAGAAACCCUUGUAGUCC
rnacentral:rRNA from 1 species